GCGGCUGUCGUCUAGUGGUUAGGACACCACGUUGUGGUUCCGUGGCAACCUCGGUUCGAUUCCGAGCAGCCGCA
rnacentral:tRNA from 1 species